rnacentral:rRNA from 1 species
UACGUAGGGUGCAAGCGUUGUCCGGAAUUAUUGGGCGUAAAGAGCUCGUAGGCGGUUUGUUGCGUCGGCUGUGAAGUCCCGAGGCUCAACCUCGGGUCUGCAGUCGAUACGAGCAAACUAGAGUGUUGCAGGGGGAGACUGGAAUUCCUGGUGUAGCGGUGAAAUGCGCAGAUAUCAGGAGGAACACCAAUGGCGAAGGCAGCACUCUGGGACGUGACUGACGCUGAGACGCGAAAGCGUGGGGGAGCAAACAGG